UCUUAAAAUGUGCUAGUUGUUACUAUAUAUGUUACAUAUGUAGAUAUGGAUCAUAUGGUUGUUGGCCCUUUGUAACGCCCAUGAUGCAGCUAUAUCUCCCACGUGUCGAAGCAUGACUUAGAGGCAUAACCGCAUUGUAGGCAAUGUCGCAAGUGAGGUAAUCUUCACACAACCCAUGUAAUGAAUAAGAAAAGAGGUACAUAGUUGGCUUACAAUCGCCACUUCACACAAUACAUGAAUAAAGCAUUACAUCAACCAGAUACAAUCAAGGUAUGACUAUGGAACCAAAAUAAAAGAAGACUACCCCAAAUGCCACAGAUCCCCUGAUCGCCCCGACUGGGCUCCACUACUGAUCAACUGAAACGAAACAACACAAUGAACAAGAUCUUCAUCGAGCUCCUCCUUGAGCUCAGUUGCAUCACCUGCACGAUAUCAUCGGCACCUGCAAGCUGUUUUUGAAGGAAUCUAUGAGUCACGGGGACUCAGCAAUCUCACACCCUCGCGAUCAAGACUAUUUAAGCUUAUGGGUAAGGUAGAAUGUAUGAGGUGGAGCUGCAGCAAGCACUAGCAUAUCUGGUGGCUAACUUACGCAAAUGAGAGCGAGAAGAGAAGGCAAAGCACGUUCGAGAAUCUAUGAUCAAGAAGCGAUCCUGAAUUUACUUACGUUCAAGCAUAACUCCAACACCGUGUUCACUUCCCAGACCCCGCCGAGAAGAGACCAUCACGGCUACACACGCGGUUGAUCCAUUUUAAUUAAGUUAAACUUCAGGUUUUCUACAACCAAACAUUAACAAAUUCCCAUCUGCCCAUAACCACGGGCACGGCUUUCGAAAGUUCAAAACCCUGCAGGGGUGUCCCAACUUAGCCCAUCACAAGCUCUCACGGUCAACGAAGGAUAUUCCUUCUCCCGAGAAGACCCGAUCAGUCUCGGAAUCCCAGUUACAAGACAUUUUGACAAUGGUAAAACAAGACCAGCAAGACCGCCCGAUGCGCCGACAUCCCGAUAGGAGCUGCACAUAUCUCGUUCUCAGGGCAACACCGGAUGAACACUACGUACAACUAAAACCAACCCUCAAGUUUCCCCGAGGUGGCGCUGCAAGUGGCUCUGUUUCGGACCAACACUUAGAGAAGCACUGGCCCGGGGGGUUAAAAUAAAGAUGACCCUCGGGAGCGCGACUCCCAAGGGAAAAGUAGGUGGUGGUGAGGCAAAUGGUAAAACCAUGGUUGGGCCUUGCUGGAGGAGUUUUAUUCAAAGCGAACUGUCAAGGGGUCCCCCUAACACCCAACCGUGUAAGGAACGCAAAAUCAAGGAACAUAACACCGGUAUGACGGAAACUAGGGCGGCAAGAGUGGAACAAAACACCAGGCAUAAGGUCGAGCCUUCCACCCUUUACCAAGUAUAUAGAUGCAUUAAUUAAAUAAGAGAUAUUGUGAUAUCCCAACAAAUAUCCAUGUUCCAACAAGGAACAAACUCCAAUCUUCACCUACAACUAACAACGCUAUAAGAGGGGCUGAGCAAAGCAGUAACAUAGCCAAACAACGGCUUGCUAGGACAAGGUGCGUUAGAGGCUUGACAUGGCAAUAUGGGAGGCAUGAUAAAGCAUGUGGCAGGUAUCGCGGCAUAGGCAUAGCAAUAGAGGGAGCAACUAGCAAGCAAAGAUAGAAGUGAUUUCGAGGGUAUGGUCAUCUUGCCUGAGAUCACGGAAGGAAGAAGAACGAGUCCAUGAAGAAGACAAAUGGACGUAGUCGAACAGAUCGUCACAAACGUGACGUUAUCGAAACCCACCCGAAGAAGCAACACCGGAAAGGAGCAAACAACAUAGUAAACAACCACCACAUAACCAUGGCAUGAUGCACAAUCAAGUAUGAUGCAUGUCCGGUUUAAAUAUGCAUGGCAUGGCAAAGUGCACAAACAAAACUACAAGUUAAAUGGAGCCCAAUAUGCAUCGGGAUGCAUAUUGACGGAACACCACAUCAAUUAUUUAGUUCUCUCUUGGUUAUGUACCCAACAAUAUUAAAUGUUCUUAACAUGGCAAGAGGUGGAGCAUAAGCAAACUAAACAUUUAGGCAAGUUUAAAUGAGG
rnacentral:lncRNA from 1 species